GUAGCACCAAAGUGACCUGCCCGGGCACAAGCCUGGUGUGUUGGCCUGUGAAUCUGAUUCAGAGGCUGAACCGGAGGAAUCCCAGCCUGCACAAGAGUCCCCGCCUCCAGAACCAGCUGAGCCGGGGCAGAGGCUUGAAUCUGAAGGGCUCUCACCUGUGCUGGAUCUUCAGGAGCAGACACCAGCUGAAUCUGCUCUGGCUCCGGAGGUGAUCGAGGACCCAUUGCCUGCAGGUGCUCCUCUCCCAACCCUGUCAUGGGAAGGUGAGGUUGCCUCUGGGUCCAGUAACCCUCCAGCCUCUCCUGAGCUGCAGAGGCUCAAGGCAGAGAGGCGGACGGAACUAAGCUCUCUCAGGCGGAGUGCUCGCCUUAAGGCCAGGGGAGGCGAGUCACCUGUGGGCCUGGACCGCCCCAGGCCUCAGAGGAGAUAAAGGCCAGUCAGCCCAGUCCCAGGUUGCGGGAGCAACAUUGUUGGUAGCCUGUUCCUGCCAGCACCCUGUCCUGCUCUUCUGCCAGAGUUCCUGACCACGCCUGACUCCCUACCUUGGACCCCACUUCUGCUUCGGACCACGCCACACGGUAACCGCCCGAGACCAGCACACCUGGCCAUAGUAUAUUUAAGCCCUAGCAACAAGACCACCCUCUCAGUUUCACUGAUGUGGUCCAAAGGAAAGCAGAGCAACACAUUUGGCACCAGCUUUGUGGAGGAGUUGUCAAAAGGAGGCAUACAACCAUCUUAGGGACUCCAGAUUUGGUAGGGCUUACUCCUUAGCUUUUCCUUCUCCUGAAGAUGUCCCACAAGGCAGCAGGUAUGGGUUUUUCCAUGGAGUUUCCUCCUGAAGCCUUUCUCACAGAUGUGUAUAGCUGCAAGGCAGUGGAAGUUUAGGGUCAGAGGUUUCCUUCUCCUAAGUGGACUACCUUCCAAGGUGGACCAGCCCCAUCUGCUCCUCACUACCCUCUACAGCACAUGCAGAUUUCAUUUUACAGAUUUGUAAGAAGCUGAACAUGGAUUAAAAGCCAUAUAAGGAAACUUAGUAGUGUCAGUUGAGAGUAGCGUCAGUUCACUGCUGGAGGUUGCUAGGUUGCGGAAGUCCUUGUGACACGCCCUUCAUUGUGACACCUCCCUCUGAUGGCUCCUUGGUCACUAGGGCUCUAGAGCAUGGGUCAGCAAACUUUUUCAGCGGGGGGGGGGGGCAGUCCACUGUCCCUCAGACCUUGUGGGGGGCCAGACUAUAUUUUGAAAAGAAAAAUGAAUGAAUUCCUAUGCCCCACAAAUAGCACAGAGGUGGAUUUUAAAUAAAAACACAUAUUCUACUCAUGUAAAAACACCAGGCAGGCCCCACAAAUAACCCAGAGAUGCAUUUUAAAUAAAAGGACAUAUUCUACUCAUGUAAAAACACGCUGAUUCCUGGAUCGUCCGCUGGCCGGAUUGAGAAGGCGAUUGGGCCACAUCCGGCCCACGGGCCUUAGGUUGCCUAUCCCUGCUCUAGAGGCAUAGCAAUCUCCUUUGGUUUGAUCAUUCAGCAAGUGAGAGAGAAAGUGGAUGGAGAUGUAAGUAGACUUCCUCAUCAGCAUCUGCAUUCUGUGCUGAUAAUGCUCCAUGAGAGUCUAGGGAACAUUUAAAAGAUUAAAAUCAGGAAUAAUUUAAAUGCUUCAGCUAGCCCUUCUGGGCAUCUUUAUGACUCCACCCACUGUUUUGUAACAGUGAAGGGAAGUGAGUGUGGAUUCUGCUUACACUUUAGGAAAAGGAAAACCUAGGAAAUGUCACACCUAGGAAAAGGGCGUUCUUUUUAGGCUAGUGGCACAAGAGUCACUUGAUAACUCACCAUGGGAGCAUUAAGCAUGCGCUCUGGAGAGCGUAAUAUCUUGCAUUGUCUUCCUCCCCUUCAAUCAAAAUUGAUUUGACAUCCUAUGCCCUUCUAAAAUGUGUUGGGUGGCGGUUAUAGGGUUGUUGUUUUAUUUUGAUUAUAUAUUUUGUGGCUUUAUAUUCUGAUUCUAUUCUGUGUAUCGCCCUAAGACCUCCAGGUGUAGGGCGGUACAUGAAUUCUAAUAAUACUAAUAGUAAUAAUAAUUGUGAAUCAUUAGCAUUGCCCAACUCCCCAUGUCUAAUACAGAUACUUGAUCUUUACAGUGCAAGUUAUAACCAAGUACAAUAUACAGCUGCAGAGUUUAAGUAAGUGGAAGGCCAACAUAUUUUUUUUUUAAGCAAAGGAGGCUUGCUCCUAAACAGCACUGUGCGUGCCUCAUGAGAUCCAUCUAAGUGUUCUGUUUCCAGUGUUGUUUUAUAUGAAUAUCGCAACAGUUCCUAACCAGUCCCGAAACUGCUGACGCAGCACUUAAAGCUCGCUGUGCAUCCCGAACAUAUUCCGAGCACGACCGCACGAGUCCCAAAGCUACUCUUACAACAGUUGCGAGAUGUCAGUGAAUCCUGUAUUGUUACAAAGAAGUCUGUUCUCAAUUCCGCCGAGGUCUCUUUAGAGAACAGAACUUAUUACAGCACCAAUACCUUCCAGGGGAAAAAGCAGUACAAAUGCGAGGAAGAUUGAUUUCCCCCCCUCCUCCCUUGAAUGCCUUCUGCACUUCAAAACUCUUCUGGGCUAAGAACGAGCCGUGUCAAUUAUUAUUAUUAUUAUUAUUAUUAUUAUUAUUAUUAUUAUUAUUUUCUGAUUAAGCAAUGCUGCUUCAGUGCUCAGCGAACUGCUUACUCAUGAAAUGGGCUCACAAGGAGAGGUGGUUUGCCUUGUUGUGGCAUAUUCUGGCCUUCCUGGUCACAUCCGUGCCAUACAUUUAAACCAGGGGUUUUCAAACUUUUUCAGCAGGGGCCUGGUCCACUGUCCCUCAGACCUUGUGGGGGGCCGGACUAUAUUUUUUUUUGGGAGGGGAAGAAUGAGCGAGGAACAAUGAGCGGCACACGAAAGGGCUCCGGAGAGGGGCUGCUUUAAAUGGCGGCCGCUUGAGAGGGGCCAGUGUGGUGUAGUGGUUAAGAGCGGUGGACUUGUAAUCUGGUGAACCGGGUUCGCGUCCCUGCUCCUCCACAUGCAGCUGCUGGGUGACCUUGGGCUAGUCACACUUCUCUGAAGUCUCUCAGCCUCACUCACCUCACAGAGUGUUUGUUGUGGGGGAGGAAGGGAAAGGAGAAUGUUAGCCGCUUUGAGACUCCUUCGGGUAGUGACAAAGCCGGAUAUCAAAUCCAAACUCCUGCUCCUCCUCAGCCAACCGCGGCUUCUGUGUCUUGCCAGCGGCAAGGGCUGGUGGUGGUGGUGGAGGAGGAGGGACGAUGAGCAGAGAGCGAAAAGGCUCUGGAGAGGGGCUGGCACCAACAAAACCCAGCUCCCUUCCUCCUCUAGGCAGGGUGGGGAGAAACCAGGAGGAGGGAGGGAGGAGGCGCCGCCGCCGCCGCGUGAGGGAGAGGGAAAGAACGAGCAUGCUGGCGAUCCACACGUCGAUUCCCGGACCGUCCGUAGGCCAGAUUUGGAAGGCAAUCAUGGCUGAUCCGGCUCACAGCCCUUAGUUUUCUGACCUAUGAUUUAAACUUUUCCCCAAGGAAUCCUGGGAAUUUUGGUUUCUUUGGGACCAUUCCAGUGCUAUUCCCACUGCCCCCAGGAGGCUCACUCUCAAUUCCUUCUUGUUCUCUCCUACUGGAUAUUUUACACUGAAAUAAGGGACAACCCUGUAUGGGGUAACUGUGCCCCUGAAGGACCAGGUGCGCAGCCUGGGAGUCAUUUUGGACUCACAGCCGUCCAUGGAAGCACAGGUCAAUUCUGUGUCUAGGGUGGCUGUCUACCAGCUCCAUCUGGUACGCAGGCUGAGACCCUACCUGCCUGCAGAUUGUAUCACCAGAGUGGUGAAUGCUCUGGUUAUCUCCCGCUUGGACUACUGCAAUGUGCUCUACCUGGGGCUACCUUUGAAGGUGACCCGGAAACUACAAUUAAUCCAGAAUGCAGCAGCUAGACUGGUGACUGGGAGCAGCCGCCAAGACCAUAUAACACCAGUCCUGAAAGACCUACAUUGGCUCCCAGUGUGUUUCCAAGUACAAUUCAAAGUGUUGGUGUUGGUGCUGACCUUUAAAGCCCUAAAUGGCCUCGACCCAGUAUACCUGAAGGAGUGUCUCCACCCCCAUUGUUCAGCCCAGACACUGAGGUCCAGCUCCGAGGGCCUUCUGGCGGUUCCCUCAAUGAGAGAAAUGAAGCUACAGGGAACCAGGCAGAGGGCCUUUUCGGUAGUGGCGCCCGCCCUGUGGAACGUCCUCCCAUCAGAUGUCAAGGAAAUAAACAACUACCUGACUUUUAGAAAACAUUGAAGGCGGCCCUGUUUAGGGAAGUUUUUAAUGUUUGAUGUUUUAUCGUGUUUUUAAUAUUCUCUUGGGAGCUGCCCAGAGUGGCUGGGGAGGCCCGGCCAGGUGGGUGGGGUAUAAGUAAUAAAUUAUUAUUAUUAUUAUUAUUAUUAUUAUUAUUAUUGAUAGGUGGCAACCCUAGAAAGCCCCCACUGCAAGAUGACAACUCCUCAGAUGUUUUCUGCCUGUGAAUUGAAUGGCUGCAAGGAAUUGCGUCUUUGCCCGACAGCAGGAGUGCUUCACGUUGGG